rnacentral:lncRNA from 1 species
AACAAUGCAGCUUCUAUUGAAUGCACUACAACGUCUAUAUAGACAAGAAUUAUCUCAUCUAAAAAGCAAUGUUUACUCCCUAGAAUAAGGAAUGAAAUGGUUGGUAAAGUGAAUAAUAUGUUAAUUUGCUUAGACGGUGAACAAAAAAAAUAUUUGUGUUCUGAUAGUAUAGGUAACGACAAAGAAGAAAUUACAAAUCAGCAUAUUCUGUAUCCCCCAGAUUUUUAAGUACGUUAAAAUUUUCACGGAUUCCAAAUCACCAAAUUGAUCUCAAAAUAGAUGUUCCAGUAAUGUUAUUAAGACAUUUAAAUCAACAAAAAGAAAUAAUACUAAUAACCAGCCUAGACAACAUGAUUACGGAAGCAGAAAUCCCAACUGAUAAUCAACAGAUUCUUAUUCCCAAAAUAAGUC